rnacentral:rRNA from 1 species
AGAUGAGUUCUCCCUGAGACUUUAAGUCUCCUGAAGGAACGUUGAAGACGACGACGUUGAUAGGCCGGGUGUGUAAGCGCAGCGAUGCGUUGAGCUAACCGGUACUAAUGAACCGUGAGGCUUAACCUUA